UACAGAGACUGCGAGCGUUUAUUCGGAUUCACUGGGCGUAAAGGGUGCGCAGGCGGCCGAGUGUGUGAGGCGUGAAAGCCCGGGGCUUAACCCCGGAAUUGCACCUCAAACUACACGGCUAGAGCAUUGGAGAGGGUAGCGGAAUUCACGGUGUAGCAGUGAAAUGCGUAGAUAUCGAUGAGGAACACCAGAGGCGAAGGCGGCUACCUGGACAAUUGCUGACGCUCAGGCACGAAAGCGUGGGGAGCAAAAGGG
rnacentral:rRNA from 1 species